AAUAGCCGGGUACUCUAUACUGUUUUUCCUGUUGAUAAUAUGGAAAUCUUGUGAACCUGUCAUUGAAACCUCAAAAACUCCCUAAAAAAAAAUCGUGUCACUUCAACUAGAGUCUUUUGGAAGAAGUUGAGGUGCUGCGCAGAAGUGGUUCAUAAUAUGGUUCGCGCAGCGUUAAGAGUGCCGGUUUGUCGGUCUGUCUGCUUCCCUGGCCUGAGUGUCUGUAGCCAUGGUCCAUGGAGAGGGUGUGUGAAAGACAGUGUUCUAUCGCCUUGUUUCACCUGGAUUUUAAGUGAACGAAACGGCAACACGGGCUAUGGCUGCAACUGUGUGUUGGUGUAAGGCUGCUGCAUGCCAGGAAGUGCCUAUGUAGUCAAGCAGGAGUUGUCUUUAAAGGGCAAGGCGCCGCUAGAAUGCUGCAGAGGAUUACGUCUAUAGUGUGAAGGCCGUCCCCUUUUUGGAUGCUAUUUUGCUGCAUAAAAGUGUCUGAAGAUCAGUACUGGACAGUAAUGAAAAUUGUACUGAAAAUUGUGCUAAGUUUAAAUAAAAUACUCUGGAGAGACCACAUGAAGACAAAUAAAAUACUCUGGAGAGA